rnacentral:rRNA from 1 species
CACGUAGGGGGGCAAGCGUUGUCCGGAUUUAUUGGGCGUAAAGAGCUCGUAGGCGGCUUAGUAAGUCGGGUGUGAAACCUCCAGGCUCAACCUGGAGACGCCACCCGAUACUGCUGUGGCUAGAGUCCGGUAGGGGGAGCGUGGAAUUCCUGGUGUAGCGGUGAAAUGCGCAGAUAUCAGGAGGAACACCAGCGGCGAAAGGCGGCGCUCUGGGCCGGUACUGACGCUGAGGAGCGAAAGCGUGGGGGAGCAAACAGG